rnacentral:ncRNA from 16 species
GUCGGCGUCGUGACGGUCCAGCCGCAAUCGGUGCCGGUCGUCACCGAACUGCCGGGCCGCACCAGUGCCUUCCUGGUCGCCCAGGUGCGGGCACGGGUCGACGGUAUCGUGCUGCGUCGCGAAUUCACCGAAGGCACCGAUGUCAAGGCAGGGCAACGCCUGUACAAGAUCGA